AGUAACCUGAUGAAGCGAGCAAACACGCGGUUCAAGAUUGUCCCAGAAACGAGUAAUCAUUGGUGACCGUCCUUAGCUCGGGACAGGACCAUCAGCUGGGCGGCGGCGGUAGUGGUGGCGACGGCGGUUGUGGUGGUAAGGUUAUACGAAGAGGAAGAAAAGGAAGAGAAGUAAAAGGAAAAGCCAGAGGAGGAGAAAGAAAAAUAGAAGAAGGCGCGAGAGAAGGAGAUGAGGAGGAGAAGGAGGAAAGCGCUAUAGAAGAAAGAAGAGCACCUCCCGCCUCGCGCCUUCCUUCCUCCCGUCUCCCGGAGUGUACACACCUGCACUCUUGAGGCUGCUGGCGAGAAGAACUGUGUCCCAAGCCCUCCACCAUGGCCGCCGCUCCGAAAGUUUGCGUCCGUCGCGCGAAGCUCAUCUUCCUGAUGGAGAACGCAGGCAAGGACGUCUUGACCUUCGUGUUGAAGCGCGGCGCGCUGAACGCCCCCGCCACGCCGCCAGGCCAGUCCCUCAUUGACUACCUUGACAACCUCCCUCAAGGCUCGACAGCCAACUAUGGCAGGAUGAGUAACAAACAAAAGAAAGCAGCACUGAACCACAGUUCAGUGCUGCUUAUCCUCUGACGUGACUACUUUAUUCAUUAUUUUUU